rnacentral:rRNA from 1 species
GAAUAUUGGACAAUGGGGGGAACCCUGAUCCAGCCAUGCCGCGUGUGUGAAGAAGGCCUUUUGGUUGUAAAGCACUUUAAGCGGGGAGGAGGCUACUCUAGUUAAUACCUAGGGAUAGUUGACGUUACUCGCAGACUCAGCACCUGCUCACGCUGUUCCCGCAGCCGCGGUAAUACAGAGGGUGCAGGCGUUAAUCGGAUUUACUGGGCGUAAAGCGCGCGUAGGUGGCCAAUUAAGUCAAAUGUGAAAUCCCCGAGCUUAACUUGGGAAUUGCAUUCGAUACUGGUUGGCUAGAGUAUGGGAGAGGAUGGUAGAAUUCCAGGUGUAGCGGUGAAAUGCGUAGAGAUCUGGAGGAAUACCGAUGGCGAAGGCAGCCAUCUGGCCUAAUACUGACACUGAGGUGCGAAAGCAUGGGGAGCAAACA